GAUAAACGCUGGCGGCGCACAUAAGACAUGCAAGUUGAACGGACUUAAUCGAAAUAUUUCUAUUUUGAAGCGGUUAGUGGCGGACUGGUGAGUAACGCGUAAGGAACCUGCCUAUUAGAGGGGAAUAACAGUGAGAAAUCAUUGCUAAUACCGCAUAUGCCAUAGAUAUCACAUGAUAACAGUGGGAAAGGAGCAAUCCGCUAAUAGAUGGCCUUGCGUCUGAUUAGAUAGUUGGUGGGGUAACGGCCUACCAAGUCGACGAUCAGUAGCCGGACUGAGAGGUUGAACGGCCACAUUGGGACUGAGAUACGGCCCAGACUCCUACGGGAGGCAGCAGUCGGGAAUAUUGCGCAAUGGAGGAAACUCUGACGCAGUGACGACGCGUAUAGGAAGAAGGUUUUCGGAUUGUAAACUAUUGUCGUUAGGGAAGAGAAAGGACAGUACCUAAGGAGGAAGCUCCGGCUAACUACGUG
rnacentral:rRNA from 1 species